UAACUAUUAAUACAAAUAAUUAAGUUAAUGAGCUUGAAUAAGCAUAU
rnacentral:tRNA from 1 species